rnacentral:ncRNA from 1 species
AGGUUCUACCAUUGUUAGGGUUCAAGAACUUACCUCUUAAGCUACACCAAAGGGGAGAGGAGAGGGAGGUGAAGGUGUCCUCGGGGGAUCGCGACCUCCAAAAACUCGUCCUCAGUUCGGAUUGCAGGCUGCAACUCGCCUGCAUGAAGCCGGAAUCGCUAGUAAUCGCCGGUCAGCCAUAUGGCGGUGAAUUCGUUCCCGGGCCU